UUUAUUUAAGUUUAGUUUGCAAACACAAUGCUAAUUGAUGCUUGUUUUAAUUUUUGGUUUUUGAAAAAGGAGUUAUCAAGACGAGUUUAACCUAACUGACCAAGUGUCAAAGUUUUUGUUACAGAUGGUGUUUCAAAGUUUUCUACAUGUGGUCACUGAAAUAGUGGUCAUAGAAAUGUAGAACAAGAAAUGCAGAAUAAGAGAAAAGUGUGCAGUUUACCUCUGUGGAUUCUCCUUGCAGUGAGGAAUGUAUUCUAAGUUCACUAUGGUUUCCAUGGCUAAGAUCAGGUUUUACCAUGAUUGGACCUGUUACCCUCUAAUGGAAUAUAUCAAAAUAUAAAAAUAUAUUUGAACCUUAAGAAGAGCCAGCAUAAGUGUCAGAGAGGAUAUAUUUAAUCACGUGUGUGGUUUGAGAGAUCAGUGAGAGAUCAAGUUCAUGUUUGUUUCCUGUUAGUUCUGCAACAAGUGCUUUUUGUGGUUAUAAUAUAUUUUUUCUGAGAGAAGGUUUUUGUGGAAAUAACCAUUUCUUGCAUCCAAUUCUCUAAAAUGAUGGUUUAUUAUACCAGCUGCCCUUCGGCCUAAUGUUGUGUAGACUAAAAUCAACAAUGUUUAAAGAAAAAUUCAAAUUGUUCCAAAUAAACUUAGAUAGAAUUAUUGGCUAUUCUUGUUGAAAUAUAUAAGUAAUAAAAAGUUAUGACCUAUUGAUUUAAAGUAGAGAUAAAGUUAUAACACCUAAUUAUUUAUUUUUCGGAAUGAUGUUGAAUCUAGAAUCUAAUACCUGAAACGUCAAGUGAUUACAAUAAAAACAUAAACAAACGUAAUAAGCAUACUUUUAUGUUACUGACGCAUUCCAUAUGAAGAUGGAAAAAAAUGUUGUCGUGUUUUAUUUAACUUGUUAUCGUUAGCUGCGCAAAUGUUAUGAUAUUUUAUGUUGAAGUCAAACAAUAUUAUAUUAAUAUUCUCUGAAUAUUUUCUGAUAAAAUCCUAUACUAACAACAAGUUAGCUAAAACAAAACCAAAAAAACUUUAACUUUUCGGUGGUUAGUUUAUCACAGUUUUGGAGCUUUUCUAAUCAAAAAAUAAACCGAGUUAAUAAAGACCAUUGACGUGAAGAUGAGCGAUUCCCGUACAAUACUUUGGUCUCCUUAAGUAUUGAAUUAUGUGUGUUUUUAUUUCAAAAUUUGACUACAUGUCAUUUGGUUUACAUUUACCGUCAUUGGUACUUUUUUAUCCAGAGUUUAAAUACAACAAACGUAUCGUCAAAGCUAGUUAUUUUACAAGCUAUGGGGCUAGUGUACUUCUACAGACUACGGGGCUAUUGUACGGGUUCGUACGAAUUUCAAAAGUUUUUAUUAUUUUUCAGAUAUGUUUGCUUUAUGAAAAAUGAAAUACUUAUAAAAAGCUAAUAAUACUAUUUUAUAAUGCAAAACAAAUCAUUUGAGUUAUCGAAUUUCACCAAUACAAGUUCUGUCAAUAAAUACCGUGAUGUCUUUUCGUAUGAAGAAAACUUGGUCGUUUGCAUAUGUUACACUGUUGUUACUUUAAUAGGUAUCACAUCAAAUGGUUUGGUUUCUUACCUUAUUAUAUGUAAUCGUAAACUAAGAACUAUCGUCAAUUUGCUAAUUUUAAACCUUGCAAUUUCAGACAUAAUUGCGUGUUUAAGCAUUUAUCCGUUUAUCUACAUUGACUUAGCUGAGACAAGGAUACGAGGUACUGCAGCAAAUCUGCUAUGCGGUUUUACAGAUGGUUUGUUUGGUUUCUUUGUUGCAGCUGCUGUAUCUUUUAUAACUUUAAGUUUGCUUUCUAUUACUAGAUACUUGAUUAUAAACCACCCAUUAAAAGUAUCAUGGAGACUUAAGUUAAAAAAUAUGAAAUGGUUGUUCGGAUUUACUUGGGCAUUAAGUUUGGGACUUGUUAUACCUAACGUUAUAUCAUUUAAAUACAAUGAAAAUUUCAAGCUCUGCAUAAGAAAUUGGGCCCGUGGUGUUAAUCCACUAGUUUACUUUAUUUUUACAAUUAUUUUAGGAUUGUUGUUGCCUUUGUCUUCUCUAUUGUUUACAUACUUCACCAGUUUGUAUACACUGUACAUUAAAAGUCGGUUAAGUAAAAACACACGGAAUAAAAACUCAGCUGCAUCAAAAAGAAGUUUUGAAAUAAAACAAAAAGCCCUCAGAUGGUUAGGUUUCCUUGUGCUAGUUUACUUAAUUUGUUGGAUACCUUUUGUUACAUAUUGGUUUCUUUCCGUCGUCAUUGGUAAUUACUCAGUUAAUAAUUACGAGGAUGUAAGAAAAGGCGUUCGUCUCACAAGAGUAACAUUAUUUUUUGCUGCAUUUAAUCCUGUACUUAAUCCAAUAAUCUAUGCAUAUAAAAGCAGACAGCUACGAGCUGCAUUUAGAUUAUUAUUUGGAUUGCGUGUUCGUGCUGAAUCAACUUCAACAUUAAAAAGUACUUUUGUCGAUCAGUUAGAAACUAUAGAGCAUAACGCUUGAAUUUAACAUGCAUGAAAAAUCUUUUAAACUUUUUUUAGCCGUUUCCUAAUAUCUCGGCAGUUGACAAACUUCUGUAUAUUAAAAUAAAAUUUUAAUAUUGUGUUGGUAAUAA